ACUCCUACGGGAGGCAGCAGUAGGGAAGUCUUCCACAAUGGGCGAAAGCCUGAUGGAGCAAUGCCGCGUGAGUGAAGAAGGUUUUCGGAUCGUAAAACUCUGUUGUUGAAGAAGAACAUGCGUGAGAGUAACUGUUCACGUACUGACGGGUAUUCAACCAGAAAGCCACGGCUAACUACGUGCCAGCAGCCGCGGUAAUACGUAGGUGGCAAGCGUUGUCCGGAUUUAUUGGGCGUAAAGAGAAUGUAGGCGGUUUUAUUAAGUUUGAAGUGAAAGCCCUCGGCUCAACCGAGGAAGUGCUUCGAAAACUGGUAAACUUGAGUGCAGAAGAGGAAAGUGGAACUCCAUGUGUAGCGGUGGAAUGCGUAGAUAUAUGGAAGAACACCAGUGGCGAAGGCGGCUUUCUGGUCUGUAACUGACGCUGAGAUUCG
rnacentral:rRNA from 1 species